rnacentral:tRNA from 1 species
GCCUGGGUGGCUCAGUUGGUUAAGCGUCCGACUUCAGCUCAGGUCAUGAUCUCACGGUUUGUGGGUUCGAGCCCCGCGUCGGGCU